CACGUAGGGGGCAAGCGUUGUCCGGAUUUACUGGGUGUAAAGGGAGCGUAGGUAGUAUGGUAAGUCAGAUGUGAAAGCCCAGGGCUCAACCCUGGGACUGCAUUUGAAACUACCAAACUAGAGUGCAGGAGAGGUAAGUGGAAUUCCUAGUGUAGCGGUGAAAUGCGUAGAUAUUAGGAGGAACACCAGUGGCGAAGGCGGCUUACUGGACUGUAACUGACACUGAGGCUCGAAAGCGUGGGGAGCAAACAGG
rnacentral:rRNA from 1 species